rnacentral:rRNA from 1 species
GGACUGGAUCAACGGCUUGACGAUAAGAAAGCUGUCUCUCUUUACUAAAUUCUGAAGUUAGCUGGAUAGUGAAGAGACUCUCUUAGCAAAGCGGGACGAGAAGACCCCGUUGAGCUUUAGUAAAAAUUGUUUAUUAAAAACUUGAUUACUUGAGUUGGGGCAACUAUCUUUCUUUUUUAAAACAAAGAUAAAAAUGUUUUGAGUUGAUUCUUUUAUGACCCUUAAUCUUAGGAAUAGUAGAAAAAGUUACCACGGGGAUAACAGCGUAAUUUUUUUUGAGAGUUCUUAUUGACAAAGAAGUUUGCGACCUCGAUGUUG